rnacentral:rRNA from 1 species
UACGUAGGGGGCAAGCGUUGUCCGGAUUUAUUGGGCGUAAAGCGCUCGCAGGUGGUUCGUCGCGUCGUGCGUGAAAGACCCCGGCUCAACUGGGGGAGGUCGUGCGAUACGGGCGGACUGGAGGCCAGUAGGGGGAUGCGGAAUUCCGGGUGUAGUGGUGGAAUGCGUAGAGAUCCGGAGGAACACCAGCGGCGAAGGCGGCAUCCUGGACUGGUCCUGACACUCAUGAGCGAAAGCUAGGGGAGCAAACAGG